ensembl:rRNA 5S_rRNA 5S ribosomal RNA
UACCACAGCCAUGUCACCCUACAGCCCAAGACUGGGUAUUCACUGAAGCUAAACAGGGCUGAGUCUGGUCUGUACCUGGAUGGGAGACCACAUGGGAAAACUAAGUUGCUGUUGGAA